GAAUGCUGACAUAAGUAACGAUAAAGCGGGUGAAAAGCCCGCUCGCCGGAAGACCAAGGGUUCCUGUCCAACGUUAAUCGGGGCAGGGUGAGUCGACCCCUAAGGCGAGGCCGAAAGGCGUAGUCGAUGGGAAACAGGUUAAUAUUCCUGUACUUGGUGUUACUGCGAAGGGGGGACGGAGAAGGCUAUGUUGGCCGGGCGACGGUUGUCCCGGUUUAAGCGUGUAGGCUGGUUUUCCAGGCAAAUCCGGAAAAUCAAGGCUGAGGCGUGAUGACGAGGCACUACGGUGCUGAAGCAACAAAUGCCCUGCUUCCAGGAAAAGCCUCUAAGCAUCAGGUAACAUCAAAUCGUACCCCAAACCGACACAGGUGGUCAGGUAGAGAAUACCAAGGCGCUUGAGAGAACUCGGGUGAAGGAACUAGGCAAAAUGGUGCCGUAACUUCGGGAGAAGGCACGCUGAUAUGUAGGUGAAGUCCCUCGCGGAUGGAGCUGAAAUCAGUCGAAGAUACCAGCUGGCUGCAACUGUUUAUUAAAAACACAGCACUGUGCAAACACGAAAGUGGACGUAUACGGUGUGACGCCUGCCCGGUGCCGGAAGGUUAAUUGAUGGGGUUAGCGGUAACGCGAAGCUCUUGAUCGAAGCCCCGGUAAACGGCGGCCGUAACUAUAACGGUCCUAAGGUAGCGAAAUUCCUUGUCGGGUAAGUUCCGACCUGCACGAAUGGCGUAAUGAUGGCCAGGCUGUCUCCACCCGAGACUCAGUGAAAUUGAACUCGCUGUGAAGAUGCAGUGUACCCGCGGCAAGACGGAAAGACCCCGUGAACCUUUACUAUAGCUUGACACUGAACAUUGAGCCUUGAUGUGUAGGAUAGGUGGGAGGCUUUGAAGUGUGGACGCCAGUCUGCAUGGAGCCGACCUUGAAAUACCACCCUUUAAUGUUUGAUGUUCUAACGUGGACCCGUGAUCCGGGUUGCGGACAGUGUCUGGUGGGUAGUUUGACUGGGGCGGUCUCCUCCUAAAGAGUAACGGAGGAGCACGAAGGUUGGCUAAUCCUGGUCGGACAUCAGGAGGUUAGUGCAAUGGCAUAAGCCAGCUUGACUGCGAGCGUGACGGCGCGAGCAGGUGCGAAAGCAGGUCAUAGUGAUCCGGUGGUUCUGAAUGGAAGGGCCAUCGCUCAACGGAUAAAAGGUACUCCGGGGAUAACAGGCUGAUACCGCCCAAGAGUUCAUAUCGACGGCGGUGUUUGGCACCUCGAUGUCGGCUCAUCACAUCCUGGGGCUGAAGUAGGUCCCAAGGGUAUGGCUGUUCGCCAUUUAAAGUGGUACGCGAGCUGGGUUUAGAACGUCGUGAGACAGUUCGGUCCCUAUCUGCCGUGGGCGCUGGAGAACUGAGGGGGGCUGCUCCUAGUACGAGAGGACCGGAGUGGACGCAUCACUGGUGUUCGGGUUGUCAUGCCAAUGGCACUGCCCGGUAGCUAAAUGCGGAAGAGAUAAGUGCUGAAAGCAUCUAAGCACGAAACUUGCCCC
rnacentral:rRNA from 1 species